rnacentral:tRNA from 3 species
GGGAGUAGAUCGUAGUCUGGUGACGCGCCCGGUCUUCAAAACCGGUGGGGGGCGUAUCCCGUCCCCGGUGGGUUCGAUUCCCAUCUACUCCCGCCA